rnacentral:misc_RNA from 1 species
AGUUUUCUCAACUACAUCUAGAAUGUAGCUUGGAUGGGUGGGGGUUGCAGGCUUUUGAAGUCGGCUCUCCUGAAAUGAAUUAGUGGUAUUCUAAGCAUAGACUACUACAGGUGUGAUAAAACUAUCUAUGCCUUGGUAUAAUGCAGAACUGCUUCUAAUAAAUUGCUUUUUGAUCA